AUUGAACGCUGGCGGCAGGCCUAACACAUGCAAGUCGAGCGAGAGGCGGACGGGUGAGUAAUGUAUGGGGACUGCCCGAUAGAGGGGGGUAACUACUGGAAACGGUAGCUAAUAACGCAUACUAUCGGAUAACCCCUAUGGGAUUAGGUAGUAGGUGAGGUAAUGGCUCACCUAGGCGACGAUCCCUAGCUGGCCUGAGAGGAUGAUCAGCCAAACUGGAACGGAGACACGGCCCAGACGCUAACGGAGGCAGAAGUGGGGAAUGUUGCACAAUGGGCGAAGGCCGGCUGCACCCCUGCGGGGUGUAGGUAGAAGGCCUUAGGGUUGAAAGGUCUGUUCAGUCGGGAGGCGUUACCGACAGAAGAAGCAACGGCUAACUACGUGCCAGCAGCCGCGGUAAUUC
rnacentral:rRNA from 1 species